rnacentral:rRNA from 1 species
AAUCAACGCUGGCGGCGUGCCUCAGACAUGCAAGUCGAACGAUUAAAGCUCUCUUCGGAGAGUGCAUAGAGUGGCGCACGGGUGAGUAACACGUAAGUAAUCUACCUUCGAGUGGGGAAUAACGUCCGGAAACGGACGCUAAUACCGCAUAAUGCAGCGGCAUCGCAAGAUGACAGUUGUUAAAGGAGCAAUUCGCUUGAAGAGGAGCUUGCGGCAGAUUAGCUUGUUGGUAAGUAACGGCUUACCAAGGCUACGAUCUGUACGGUCUAAGAGGACGGUCGGUCACACUGACACUGAAUAACGGGUCAGACUCCUAC